UUUUCCACAGUUUUUAUAUUACUGAUCUUGUUUGUUUUAUAAUGGCAGCAAAUCAUCAGUGUUUAGUAGGAUAUACUGCACAAACUGAGAAAUGCAUCUUCCAUGGUUCCUAGUGUCGCAACAACCCUCACACAUUGUCAACGAGGAGAAGUGGAAAUGCGUGGUAUUAAGUGUGAUGGGAGAGAGAACCAGAAGAGUAGAAGCUAAAAGCCUGCAGGUUUAGAUAAAUGGAUGAAGCAAUGCCAAACACAUUCUUCAGUGCUUGCUGAUUUUACUGAAGAGUACCAGGAAACAGCAGCAGAUCCAGCAGCAUCCUGAAUUCUAAGAUAAUUUGCAUCUGUAAAUACUUUUAAGAAAGGGAAGUGUGAUUAACUUUUGAGGGAAAGGUUUUCAAAUAGACCCCAGCUCUACAUGUUGGUCUUUUAUGGACCCAAGACUGACUAUUUGAGGACUCUUGUGGUUAUAUUUUUGCUUCAUAAAUUUCUUUUCUGAGAUGUGAUUCUAUGUGUAAAUCUUUUAUUGCCGAAGUAAAUGAUGCAGAAAACUGAAAUGCAGAAUAGGACAGCUGAACCAAGGCAAGUAAGGUCUG